CCGCAGAAAGCAAAACCUUGGAUGGGGCGGGCUACUGUAGUCGCUUUUGUUUUAAAAUCACACACAAAACCUAACGGAAUAUAAGAAAUAUGAAUGGAGAACUUGUCCUAGGAAAGGCUCUGGUAGGAGAAAUCACUACCCUGCAGGAGUCCAGUGACAGGGUCUCCUAACCUACAACCACAGUCGUGGCUAGACAAGUUUUGAAAAGGAAGAAAAUGAACAUUCCAGCAACUACUGUAUGUCUGAUACUUAACACCCAUUAUUUCAUUGAAUCCAAACCACCCUGACGAGUAGGUAAAGUGAAAUAGCGUUUUACUGGUGGGACUGACCAAUGGCAUUAGGAUCUCAACUAGGCACCAAAUCUCCUUUUAUCAAUGAUGAAGUGCAAAAUAAGGGUGCUGUUUCUACAAUUUAUCUUAAUUCAACGCCGUACUAGUCUGCAAAACAAUGAGCUAGAGAAAAGGAAUAAACAGCUAUAAAAUGGUGAUGACUGUGUGUUCAAAUCAUUGUGUUUAAUGCCAGCUUCUCAGUGGUGAGUACGGAACAGGUGGAAAUUCUAAAGCACGCUUGCUUAUCUACUUGGUUUCGAAGUUUG
rnacentral:lncRNA from 1 species